rnacentral:rRNA from 1 species
GACGAACGCUGGCGGCGUGCCUAAUACAUGCAAGUUGAGCGAUGAAGCUUGGUGCUUGCCCCAAUUUGAAGAGCAGCGAACGGGUGAGUAACGCGUGGGGAAUCUGCCUUUGAGCGGGGGACAACAUUUGGAAACGAAUGCUAAUACCGCAUAACAACUUUAAACAUAAGUUUUAAGUUUGAAAGAUGCAAUUGCAUCACUACAAGAUGAUCCCGCGUUGUAUUAGCUAGUUGGUGAGGUAAAGGCUCACCAAGGCGAUGAUACAUAGCCGACCUGAGAGGGUGAUCGGCCACAUUGGGACUGAGACACGGCCCAAACUCCUACGGGAGGCAGCAGUAGGGAAUCUUCGGCAAUGGACGAAAGUCUGACCGAGCAACGCCGCGUGAGUGAAGAAGGUUGUCGGAUCGUAAAACUCUGUUGGUAGAGAAGAACGUUGGUGAGAGUGGAAAGCUCAUCAAGUGACGGUAACUACCCAGAAAGGGACGGCUAACUACGUG